rnacentral:misc_RNA from 1 species
CAGAGCGACCCCGGGGUCCCCCGAAGGGGGUGUCCUCGUCAGUCGAUGCCCACUGUGAACCCUACCAAGCCGUUGCCUUUUCGGCGGGCGGCCCCCUGGGAGGGGACCAAUGCCUCUUCGCUGAGGCGUCCGCCGGGGCACACCAAUCUACCCAAACUCUAUUGUCUCUAGUGAGUCUCUGAGCACUAAAGAAAAUGAAUCA